rnacentral:rRNA from 1 species
UACGUAGGGUGCGAGCGUUGUUCGGAAUUACUGGGCGUAAAGGGCUCGUAGGCGGCCAACUAAGUCAGACGUGAAAUCCCUCGGCUUAACCGGGGAACUGCGUCUGAUACUGGAUGGCUUGAAUCCGGGAGAGGGAUGCGGAAUUCCAGGUGUAGCGGUGAAAUGCGUAGAUAUCUGGAGGAACACCGGUGGCGAAGGCGGCAUCCUGGACCGGCAUUGACGCUGAGGAGCGAAAGCCAGGGGAGCAAACGGG